ACUCCUACGGGAGGCAGCAGUGGGGGAUAUUGCACAAUGGGGGGAACCCUGAUGCAGCGACGCCGCGUGAAGGAAGGAGUGCCUCGGCAUGUAAACUUCUAUCAGCGGGGAAGAAGAUGACGGUACCCGACCAAGAAGCCCCGGCUAACUACGUGCCAGCAGCCGCGGUAAUAC
rnacentral:rRNA from 1 species